rnacentral:rRNA from 1 species
AGAACGAACGCUGGCGGCAUGCCUAACACAUGCAAGUCGAACGAGACCUUCGGGUCUAGUGGCGCACGGGUGCGUAACGCGUGGGAAUCUGCCCUUGGGUACGGAAUAACAGUUAGAAAUGACUGCUAAUACCGUAUAAUGACUUCGGUCCAAAGAUUUAUCGCCCAGGGAUGAGCCCGCGUAGGAUUAGCUAGUUGGUGAGGUAAAGGCUCACCAAGGCGACGAUCCUUAGCUGGUCUGAGAGGAUGAUCAGCCACACUGGGACUGAGACACGGCCCAGACUCCUACGGGAGCAGCAGUGGGAAUAUGGACAAUGGGCGAAAGCCUGAUCCAGCAAUGCCGCGUGAGUGAUGAAGGCCUUAGGUGUAAAGCUCGUUUACCCGGGAUGAUAAUGACAGUACCGGAGAACUAAGCCCGGACUAACUCGUAGUCAGCAGCCGUAC